rnacentral:rRNA from 1 species
GGGUUGUGAGGUUAAGCGACUAAGCGUACACGGUGGAUGCCCUGGCAGUCAGAGGCGAUGAAGGACGUGCUAAUCUGCGAUAAGCGUCGGUAAGGUGAUAUGAACCGUUAUAACCGGCGAUUUCCGAAUGGGGAAACCCAGUGUGUUUCGACACACUAUCAUUAACUGAAUCCAUAGGUUAAUGAGGCGAACCGGGGGAACUGAAACAUCUAAGUACCCCGAGGAAAAGAAAUCAACCGAGAUUCCCCCAGUAGCGGCGAGCGAACGGGGAGCAGCCCAGAGCCUGAAUCAGUGUGUGUGUUAGUGGAAGCGUCUGGAAAGGCGCGCGAUACAGGGUGACAGCCCCGUACACAAAAAUGCACAUACUGUGAGCUCGAUGAGUAGGGCGGGACACGUGGUAUCCUGUCUGAAUAUGGGGGGACCAUCCUCCAAGGCUAAAUACUCCUGACUGACCGAUAGUGAACCAGUACCGUGAGGGAAAGGCGAAAAGAACCCCGGCGAGGGGAGUGAAAAAGAACCUGAAACCGUGUACGUACAAGCAGUGGGAGCACGCUUCGGCGUGUGACUGCGUACCUUUUGUAUAAUGGGUCAGCGACUUAUAUUCUGUAGCAAGGUUAACCGAAUAGGGGAGCCGAAGGGAAACCGAGUCUUAACUGGGCGUUAAGUUGCAGGGUAUAGACCCGAAACCCGGUGAUCUAGCCAUGGGCAGGUUGAAGGUUGGGUAACACUAACUGGAGGACCGAACCGACUAAUGUUGAAAAAUUAGCGGAUGACUUGUGGCUGGGGGUGAAAGGCCAAUCAAACCGGGAGAUAGCUGGUUCUCCCCGAAAGCUAUUUAGGUAGCGCCUCGUGAAUUCAUCUCCGGGGGUAGAGCACUGUUUCGGCAAGGGGGUCAUCCCGACUUACCAACCCGAUGCAAACUGCGAAUACCGGAGAAUGUUAUCACGGGAGACACACGGCGGGUGCUAACGUCCGUCGUGAAGAGGGAAACAACCCAGACCGCCAGCUAAGGUCCCAAAGUCAUGGUUAAGUGGGAAACGAUGUGGGAAGGCCCAGACAGCCAGGAUGUUGGCUUAGAAGCAGCCAUCAUUUAAAGAAAGCGUAAUAGCUCACUGGUCGAGUCGGCCUGCGCGGAAGAUGUAACGGGGCUAAACCAUGCACCGAAGCUGCGGCAGCGACACUAUGUGUUGUUGGGUAGGGGAGCGUUCUGUAAGCCUGUGAAGGUGUGCUGUGAGGCAUGCUGGAGGUAUCAGAAGUGCGAAUGCUGACAUAAGUAACGAUAAAGCGGGUGAAAAGCCCGCUCGCCGGAAGACCAAGGGUUCCUGUCCAACGUUAAUCGGGGCAGGGUGAGUCGACCCCUAAGGCGAGGCCGAAAGGCGUAGUCGAUGGGAAACAGGUUAAUAUUCCUGUACUUGGUGUUACUGCGAAGGGGGGACGGAGAAGGCUAUGUUGGCCGGGCGACGGUUGUCCCGGUUUAAGCGUGUAGGCUGGUUUUCCAGGCAAAUCCGGAAAAUCAAGGCUGAGGCGUGAUGACGAGGCACUACGGUGCUGAAGCAACAAAUGCCCUGCUUCCAGGAAAAGCCUCUAAGCAUCAGGUAACAUUAAAUCGUACCCCAAACCGACACAGGUGGUCAGGUAGAGAAUACCAAGGCGCUUGAGAGAACUCGGGUGAAGGAACUAGGCAAAAUGGUGCCGUAACUUCGGGAGAAGGCACGCUGAUAUGUAGGUGAAGUCCCUCGCGGAUGGAGCUGAAAUCAGUCGAAGAUACCAGCUGGCUGCAACUGUUUAUUAAAAACACAGCACUGUGCAAACACGAAAGUGGACGUAUACGGUGUGACGCCUGCCCGGUGCCGGAAGGUUAAUUGAUGGGGUUAGCGGUAACGCGAAGCUCUUGAUCGAAGCCCCGGUAAACGGCGGCCGUAACUAUAACGGUCCUAAGGUAGCGAAAUUCCUUGUCGGGUAAGUUCCGACCUGCACGAAUGGCGUAAUGAUGGCCAGGCUGUCUCCACCCGAGACUCAGUGAAAUUGAACUCGCUGUGAAGAUGCAGUGUACCCGCGGCAAGACGGAAAGACCCCGUGAACCUUUACUAUAGCUUGACACUGAACAUUGAGCCUUGAUGUGUAGGAUAGGUGGGAGGCUUUGAAGUGUGGACGCCAGUCUGCAUGGAGCCGACCUUGAAAUACCACCCUUUAAUGUUUGAUGUUCUAACGUUGACCCGUGAUCCGGGUUGCGGACAGUGUCUGGUGGGUAGUUUGACUGGGGCGGUCUCCUCCUAAAGAGUAACGGAGGAGCACGAAGGUUGGCUAAUCCUGGUCGGACAUCAGGAGGUUAGUGCAAUGGCAUAAGCCAGCUUGACUGCGAGCGUGACGGCGCGAGCAGGUGCGAAAGCAGGUCAUAGUGAUCCGGUGGUUCUGAAUGGAAGGGCCAUCGCUCAACGGAUAAAAGGUACUCCGGGGAUAACAGGCUGAUACCGCCCAAGAGUUCAUAUCGACGGCGGUGUUUGGCACCUCGAUGUCGGCUCAUCACAUCCUGGGGCUGAAGUAGGUCCCAAGGGUAUGGCUGUUCGCCAUUUAAAGUGGUACGCGAGCUGGGUUUAGAACGUCGUGAGACAGUUCGGUCCCUAUCUGCCGUGGGCGCUGGAGAACUGAGGGGGGCUGCUCCUAGUACGAGAGGACCGGAGUGGACGCAUCACUGGUGUUCGGGUUGUCAUGCCAAUGGCACUGCCCGGUAGCUAAAUGCGGAAGAGAUAAGUGCUGAAAGCAUCUAAGCACGAAACUUGCCCCGAGAUGAGUUCUCCCUGACUCCUUGAGAGUCCUGAAGGAACGUUGAAGACGACGACGUUGAUAGGCCGGGUGUGUAAGCGCAGCGAUGCGUUGAGCUAACCGGUACUAAUGAACCGUGAGGCUUAACCUUACAACGCCGAAGGUGUUU